CUGGCAUGGGGGAACCUGACCGCAAUGCCGCGUGAGUGAAGAAGGCCUUCGGGUUGUAAAGCUCUUUUGUCAGUGAAGAAACACCGGCUCUAACACAGUCCGGGAAUGACGGUACCUGAAGAAUAAGCACCGGCUAACUACGUGCCAGCAGCCGCGGUAAUACGUAGGGUGCAAGCGUUAAUCGGAAUUACUGGGCGUAAAGCGUGCGCAGGCGGUUAUACAAGACAGGCGUGAAAUCCCCGGGCUUAACCUGGGAAUGGCGCCUGUGACUGUAUAGCUAGAGUGUGUCAGAGGGGGGUAGAAUUCCACGUGUAGCAGUGAGAUGCGUAGAUAUGUGGAGGAAUACCAAUGGCGAAGGCAGCCCCCUGGGAUAACACUGACGCUCAUGCACGAAA
rnacentral:rRNA from 1 species